rnacentral:rRNA from 1 species
AUUGAACGCUGGCGGCAGGCCUAACACAUGCAAGUCGAGCGAGCGGCGGACGGGUGAGUAAUGUAUGGGGAUCUGCCUGAUGGAGGGGGAUAACUACUGGAAACGGUAGCUAAUACCGCAUACCAUCGGAUGUGCACAGAUGGGAUUAGCUAGUAGGUGGGGUAAAGGCUCACCUAGGCGACGAUACCUAGCUGGUCUGAGAGGAUGACCAGCCACACGUGAACUGAGACACGGUCCAGACUCCUACGGGAGGCAGCAGUGGGGAAUAUUGCACAAGUGGCGCAAGCCUGAUGCAGCCAUGCCGCGUGUAUGAAGAAGGCCUUCGGGUUGUAAAGUACUUUCAGCGGGGAGGCGUUACCCGCAGAAGAAGCACCGGCUAACUCCGUGCCAGCAGCCGCGGUAAUUC